rnacentral:sRNA from 1 species
AUCAACUGAAGCACAGGACGUGCUCAGGAUCACGGAUGAUCGACCAUACGCCAGGAUGGCUGCCGACAGGAUGUCGCAAUGGUCUUGAGAAACCCGCUUCGGCGGGUUUUUU